ensembl:lncRNA
CCAGCCUUUCUCGCCUCGCAGGUCCCCAUAGAUCGUAGUUCCAUCUGGACCCUGAUCCUGACUGGCCCACGGACACCGCUUCUAACAUCAUUGAUAUUCCCAAUUCUGUUGCUCUAAACAUGCGCAUAACUAACUUUGUUUCUUCCAUGGAGUAUUUGUGCUUUCUCGCCACACAGGUUUCCAUGGAUUGUGGUUCUAACUAGACCCUGUUCCUGCCUCCUAUCGUGGCCCUGCUGACACCUGCUGAGGCUUCUGUGGAUGAUGGUUCUAUCUGAAGGCGGUGGUCCCUGUAGUGGUGCCUGCCGAACACCUGGUUCCUGUGCAGAGUUUUUCCUGUGCCGAUGUGAGGGUUUCGGGACAGAGGAUGUCGCAUGUGUACAGACUGUAACGCCCUCUGAGGCAAAUUUGUAAUUUGCAAUUUUGGGCUAUACAAAAUAAAAUCAAUUCAAUUCAAUUCAACGUCAUGAUAUUCACAGAAACUUCAGGAAAGCACCAUCAAGCUAGCUGGGCGCUACAUCCUUCGGGCAGACAGAUCAACCGACUACUCCUGAGGUGGCAGGUGUAUUUCUACUCAGAGAGUUUACAUCAACUGUGAUUGCAGUCUAUACAUCCCCGGACUCUAAUGGUAAACUUUCCAUGAAAGAACGGCAUGCUGCCAUUAGCAAACAACCGACUCUACAUCCGGAGGCAACUUUUAUUCUUGCGGGUGACUUCAACCGCUCAAACCUGAAGACUAUACUCCCUAAAUUAUACCAGCAGGUCUUCUGCCCCACGAGAGGAGACUUAGAUCACGUCUACAAGAACAUGGUGGAUGCUUACAAUGUCCCCCCCUCCCCCAUCUAGGAAAGUCUGACCACCUCUAAUUGUUCCUUCUCCCCAAAUACACACCUCUCAUAAGACAGAGGACAGUUAAAGUAUGGCCAGAGGGAGUAGACUGCACUACAGCUCCGGUUUGAAAACACAGACUGGAGUGUGUUUGCCACCGAGACCACACUGGACUCCCACACAGCCUUUCCUUCCUCAGUUCUGGACUAUAUCAACAUCAAUGUCAAGAGUCACCACGCUCAAAAGGGUCACCCCAUUCCCCAAUUAUGAAUUAUGAAUGAAUGCCUAAUGCAUAAGAUUUUUGACACUGCAGAUCAGGUGAUGCUCAGGCCUACAUCUCAUCCAGGGCUGACCUGAAAAGGGGCAUCAAAAAGGCCAAGCACAG